rnacentral:lncRNA from 1 species
UGGUUUUACUGAAUGGCUAACCCAUAUGAUAUUGCCUGUUUGAUUGGUUUUGACCUACAAGUAAACACUACACUAUCAGCUUUCUCCAAGGAUACCAUAGAUCUACCUUCAGGAAAUGCAUUCCAGUCUACACCUGUGAAGCUACUCACCAUGGUAACUGGGAUUGGAUUUCAGGUUGCCAUGGUUUGGAUCUUAAAUGUCUUCCAAAGGCCCAUGUGUUGAAAGGUUGGUCCCCAGACUGUGGCAUUACUAAAAGGGGGUGGAAAAUUUAGCAGGUGGGGCCUAGUGGGAUAGGUCACGGGGGCAUGAGAUAUUGGGACCCCCACCCCCUUCCUGCCUUUCUUUUUGCUUCCUGGCUGCUUUGAGGUCAAUAGUCUUCCUCCUCUGUGUGCUCCCUCCUUGGUAUACUGUGUCACAGAGUCCCCCAAAACUGGGCCUAGCGACUAAGGACUGAAACCUCAGAAACCACAGCCAAAAUCAGUCCUCCUUCAUAUAAGUUGAUUAUUUCAGGUAUUUUGUCUCAGUGACGGAAAAUGGACUAACGUGCAGGUACAGAUCCAACCUGCUUCUCCUAAAGCAUCCCUUUUCAAAUUGCCCAUUAGCACUUUGUUUCCUUCCCCCUUGAUUUCACAUAACUAUUUUAAGAUUCUUGAAUUUUUUAUCCUAUUUAUUACUAUAGAUAAAAAUCAGCUCCUUAAAGUCACCGAAUAUCUCUGAUCAAAUUCUGGAUAGUUUUGUCCCAUUCAAAUAAACUGUUUAGUUUUCAGAAGAAAGAAAAAGGCAAAGAUUCCCUUUAAAAAAGUAAUCCAUGGAUUAGUAAUGUUAUGAAUUCAGUACGCAUUAACUUGUAUGCUUUUUCAAAUUCCACAGAUCAGUGGGGAGAGCGCAUUGUACCUUUGAGCUAAGUGUGAUUACAAACCAGGCCUUUGCUACAUGGAAGUGGUUUAUCUGGGCCUGUCAAGGAAGUUUUCUUUCGCAUCCGAGGAAGAGAAAGAUCAGGAACCAUAAAGAUGCCAGAAAAUAUAGCUUAGCGCUGCAGUUCUCAGAAUAUGAUUCUGAAGUAGCAUCAUCCAAAUCUCCUGGGGUGGUGACUAGGGUCACAGUUCGGUGACAGAGUACUUGCAAGCCUGUCCAAGGGCUGGGUUUCAUCCUCCACACUGCACACACACCUGUUUAUGUUUAAUUUGACCCAAAUGUGAUCAUUACACAUUGUAUACAUGUAUUAAGUUAUCACCAUAAAUAUGUGCAAAUUUAUG